rnacentral:lncRNA from 1 species
CCCCUAAUUGUUUUAUAACUCCAAGUCCUUUGUAAAUACUCCCAACCUGUAAACAUUCUCACAUCCAUAAUGACUCUGAUUUCCGAUCAAUAAAUCGUGAGGAAAUGUCUCACUUCCUCCAUUAUUUAUUUACAAAAAAAAAGAUAAUUCAAAAUUCAGCACUUAUUGCUGCAUCAUUUUAAAAUGUUUUACUAAGUCAAGAAAGAGC